rnacentral:rRNA from 1 species
UACGUAGGGUGCAAGCGUUAUCCGGAAUUAUUGGGCGUAAAGAGCUCGUAGGCGGUUUGUCGCGUCUGCUGUGAAAACCCGAGGCUCAACCUCGGGCCUGCAGUGGGUACGGGCAGACUAGAGUGCGGUAGGGGAGAUUGGAAUUCCUGGUGUAGCGGUGGAAUGCGCAGAUAUCAGGAGGAACACCGAUGGCGAAGGCAGAUCUCUGGGCCGUAACUGACGCUGAGGAGCGAAAGCAUGGGGGAGCGAACAGG